rfam:Brachypodium distachyon strain Bd21 chromosome 2, whole genome shotgun sequence.
GAUUGGAGAGAGGGGAGGAGACAGGGAUGGAGCAGAGCAUGGGAUGGGGCUAACAGCAAAAUUACGUUCGUUAUUACUUCCACUAUAUGCUGUGAGAGCUGCUGCUGCUGUGUUGUUGCUCCCUCCCCUGCACUGCCUCUUCCCUGGCUCCCCUGCAUCACCCCCCCU